GAGCAGGGCUGCUGUGCUCUCAGGAGCACGGAGGCCUCCGUGCUCCUGAACCGUUUUCGAUGAUGGAAUUUUCGAAUCGACGAUCGACUCCGUUAGACUUGAUCUAGCGUAUUUGAAGUUUCUAGAAAAUAAUUUUUGUGAUUUUUUGAUAUUAUUUAUCUAGUAAUCAAAAGGAUUCAAAAUCAAUAAUUUUUAACGGCUGAAAAUAAAAAUUCUACAAAAAGUGGUGAUAUAGCACUAAAAUUUUCGAUCAGAAAUAUUGAUCUUGUUGUAGAUAGUAUAAAGAAUUU
rnacentral:lncRNA from 1 species